rnacentral:rRNA from 1 species
GACGAACGCUGGCGGCGCGCCUAACACAUGCAAGUCGAACGAGCGAGAGAGAGCUUGCUUUCUUGAGCGAGUGGCGAACGGGUGAGUAACGCGUGAGGAACCUGCCUCAAAGAGGGGGACAACAGUUGGAAACGACUGCUAAUACCGCAUAAGCCCACGGUGCCGCAUGGCACAGAGGGAAAAGGAGCAAUCCGCUUUGAGAUGGCCUCGCGUCCGAUUAGCUAGUUGGUGAGGUAACGGCCCACCAAGGCGACGAUCGGUAGCCGGACUGAGAGGUUGAGCGGCCACAUUGGGACUGAGACGCGGCCCAGACUCCUACGGGAAGCAGCAGUGGGGAAUAUUGCACCAUGGGGGAAACCCUGAUGCAGCGACGCCGCGUGGAGGAAGAAGGUCUUCGGAUUGUAAACUCCUGUUGUUGGGGAAGAUAAUGACGGUACCCAACAAGGAAGUGACGGCUAACUACGUG